rnacentral:rRNA from 1 species
UACGGGGGGGGCAAGCGUUGUUCGGAAUCACUGGGCGUAAAGGGCGCGUAGGCGGCCGAUCAAGUCGGGGGUGAAAGCCUGUGGCUCAACCACAGAAUUGCCUUCGAUACUGUUUGGCUUGAGACCGGAAGAGGUUAGUGGAACUGCGAGUGUAGAGGCGAAAUUCGUAGAUAUUCGCAAGAACACCAGUGGCGAAGGCGGCUGACUGGUCCGGUUCUGACGCUGAGGCGCGAAAGCGUGGGGAGCAAACAGG